rnacentral:lncRNA from 1 species
UGAUUGAGCACUGCAGGAAUAUAUGUGGGGGACGACAUGGUUAUUCAUCUCCAGGGAAAAGCCAAGAAACUUGAGCCGCUACCUGAAUGCCGUAAAUGUAAAGACAAGCGUGUCCAAAAUGGUGAAAUAGCAAAAGUAUGCAUAGAUUGUUUCCUUCGUGGUGAAAGGCCCCGGAUCUAUGACUAUGGAGUUUCCCUUUUAGAGUUCCUUGCAAGAAAAGGUGGUACUUGCUGCCAACGCGAUUCCAAGCCUCCCCAUGAAGUUAUUAGCAUCGCAACUUAUUUACUUGAACGGAAUAGGUUUGGCCCCUACGGCAUGCUUACUAACAACUGUGAGCACUUCGCUGUGUUUUGCAAAACAGGCUCUGCCGCAAGUUACCAGAUUGAAUGCAUUGCAAGAGGUAUUGGUGCUGGUCCCGUUGGUAGGCUUGCUGGCGCUGCUAUUGCGGUAGCUUGGCGUGUUUCGAAAGGCGUUAGGAAAACAUGAAGCUCCUGGUAACUUCUGCCUGCAACUCAUUCACGGGACUUCAAUUACAUCUUACUUAUAAGUAUGAACCAUGUUAAGAAGAUCUCAUAUCCCAAUAAACUUAAAACUCAAAGCCAACUAGUGCUGAUAUUCACCUAUAUGCAAAUAUGAAUUAUUUAUCAUCUUUUUAUAAAUACUAAAUAUUUUAUGAGGGUAGAAAUUGCAUAUUUGGUAUAUAAGUGUGUGUUUGAAAACAAUAGAAAAUAAAUAAUAAAAUAUAUGAUUUGAAACUAAUAAUAACAAUACAUAUGCAAAAUGCACAAAAUUAAAAUGAAAAAUUAGUUUAAAUUGUGAGUAAAAAAAUUUAAAUAGAUAUCAUAUUAAGAAUAUCAAAUUCACUCCAAUUGCUUAUCAUUGGUAUUGUUAUUUUUCUGUAGCACUUAAAAUGUUAUUUUGUUAAUAUGCUAUCAAAAUGUUAUCAUAUUGGUGAAAGGAAAAUUCAAUAUAUUCUUUAAAUCACUCAAUCCAAUUUCCAUAAAAUAGGAAAUUCGAUUUGCAUGAUGAAUUGAAAUUCGAUCAUUUAUGAUUUGUUCUUCCGUUAGAUUAAUCUUCUAAGAUGUGCCAUGAAAGCUUGCAACAGAUUAUGAGUUCAACAUUCAAAUAGAUUUAGCUAAAAUGAUUAUCAGUUCUAAACAUGAUAAAUUAUUGUUUCAGCCUAGCUACAACAUAGGUUGAAACUGCUCUUGUAGCUGAAACCAUAAUUUCUCCAACAGAGGUUUCAUCUACACCACAUUUAUUGAGCAAAAUUUAUGAUUAAACAACUAUAUUUUCCAAAUAAUUUAAAUUUAUUUCAAAUCUACCCGUGAAAGAGCUAAAGGGGUAUAGGCAGUAGGGGCUUUAAUGCAACUAAAAUCAUGUCAAGCAAGCAUUUACAUUGGUAUGUAAACUGGCACCAUUGAAGGAACGUUUGAUUCCUUUGAACAAUAUUGUCUAGCAAGCAUCAGAACCUCCUUUCCAAAACUUUCAAAGCAUAAUUAUAUGUUUUCUCUUUAUAAAAUUUGAUUCUCGAUUUUUUGUUGCUUCUUCUAAUCACAUCUACUAUAAAUUUGCCUUAGUUUAUUGCUAAAAACCCAACUUAAAACAAAAGAUUUUAACUAGAAAUCAUAAAUGGGACAGCCACAAAGCAAACCAAGGUUUCUUCAACCAGGGGAUCACAUCUACUGUGAAAGAGAGGGAGGUUUAUAUGACCACCAUGGUUUGCUUCUAUUUCUUUUCAAUUUUUUAUCCAUAUACCCAGAAGAUCAUAACAUGUAUACACACACAUAAACAUUGGGUGUCUCUGAUUGAGCACUGCAGGAAUAUAUGUGGGGGACGACAUGGUUAUUCAUCUCCAGGGAAAAGCCAAGAAACUUGAGCCGCUACCUGAAUGCCGUAAAUGUAAAGACAAGCGUGUCCAAAAUGGUGAAAUAGCAAAAGUAUGCAUAGAUUGUUUCCUUCGUGGUGAAAAGCCCCGGAUCUAUGACUAUGGAGUUCCACUUAAUGAAUUCCGUUUCAGAAAACGUGGUACUUGCUGCCCACACCAUUCCAAGCCUCCCCAUGUAGUUAU